CUUCCUCCUGCUACUGCCAUGUGAGAUACCUGCCCCUACUUUGCCUUCUUCCAUGAUUGGAAGCUUCCUGAGGCCACCCCAGAGUCAGAAGCCGCUAUGCUUCCUGGACAGCUUGCAGAACCGUGGAUGAAAUCAAGGCUUGCUGCUGACAAAAUAUAAAUCAUGCCAUAUGAUGCCAAUUCUAAAAUGCCAUUAAUUCUCCUCCAUUAACCCCUGCAGAGUAUUCACUGACUGCUGAAACUAGAGCAUCACUGAGAAGCAAGAGAUAGACUGACCUAACUAGAGGGAGAGCUGCCAUCCAGGAUGAUGCCACCAUCACAGGAGGUGAGAAGGAACACAGCAUCUUCUGCAAAUGCUACAGUAAAUAGGGACGGGGUGCAGCAAUGUGAGGAAAGUGGAAUGAACUUGGACUUUGAAGGCAAACUAACCUGGAAUCAAAUACUGGCUCUGCUGUUUGCAAGUGUGAUCUUUGGGUAUGCUUCCUAAUCUGUGAGCUUCAACUUCCUCCUCUGUAAACCAAGAUCAAAGACAAACAGGGAAACCUACUUGUCUGGUGCCCAUCCCCUUGGCAGAACACUCCUCUGAAGGAUGACAGUUUGGCUGUGCCAGGGCAGAGCUGCCGACACCAAAUGAGCCUUCAUAGCAACUAUCUGAUGAGGAACUCACUGGCCUACCUUUCCUUGACAGCUGGGGCCUGCCAGCCUUGAAGCAUGACUCCACAACGCCCCUACCCAAGGCCAUGGAGGUUGCUGCUGAUGAGCAAGCUGUUUUAUAUUUAAUCCAGGUUUCUGCUUGGAGAGGAAGAAGGUAGAGGAGCCAGCGAAGGUUUGUCUGAAUGAUACUUGCAGAAAAAACACUGGUAACAGUCACAAAACUUUGAAAAUUAAAGUGCCAGCGAGGUGGCUUUUGGUGGCCAGAUGAAAGCUGUUAACCCCAGCUUUUACAAAUGCUGGGCUUUGAGUAAGAGGAGAGUGUCUUUCUGGAAAAGUUUGAGACCUCUUACUAUUGUAGCAGCAAAAGCAUCCACGGCUAGUGUUUUCCAAGCUCACUGCUACUUGUUGCAGUCUAGCAGUGUUGUGUCUCCUGAAAUUCCUACCUUUCUUGAUGGAUGUAAAAGAAGUACCAAUUUAUUAAGCUCCUAGUAUGUGCCAGAUGCUCCAUAUAUGUUACUUUUGAUCUUCAGAACCACUCAGCAACUUACUGCUUCUCCUCACUCCCAAUUACAUAGAUGAUGAAAUUGAAGCAGAGUAGUUUGUCUAGGAUUACAGAGCUAGGAGGGACCAGAGUUGGGAUUCUCCCUCAGUUCUAAUACACAGUAUGCUACAUUUCCUGUCGAGUAGUAACAAAGCUUCUAAGAAAUCUGAGUUUUCAUUUGUUAAAACUGAAUUUUUAAGAAAUGUAGACAGGAGCACUAAGUACUCUAUAGUUUAACGUUAAUAAUGGUACAAGUAUAUAACCAGUUUCUCAUGCACUGGCAUAACAUACUUCAGAGGGUACACCAGGGCUGGAUGAAUAUCUGAACCCAAAAAUAUCUGAGACAGGUCUCAGUUAACUUAGAAAGUUUAUUUUUCCAAUUUUGAGGACAUGCACCCAUGACACAGCCUCAGGUGGUCCUGACGACAUGUGCCCAAGGUAGUUAGGGCAAAGCUUUUUUUUAUACACUUUAGAGAGACAGGAGAUAUCAAUCAAUAUAUGUAAGAUGUACAUUGGUUAUGUCCAGAAAGACAGGACAACUAAAGCAGGGAGGGGGCUUCCAGGUCUUAUGUAGGUGAGAGAUAAAUGGUUGCAUUCCUUUGAGUUUCUGACUAGCUUUUCCAAAGGAGGCAAUCAAAUAUGCAUUUAUCUCAGUGAGCAGAGGGGUGACUUUGAAUAGAAUGGGAGGCAGGUUUGCCCUAAACAGUUCCCAGCUUGACUUUUCCGUUUAGCUUAGUGAUGUUGGGGCCCUGAGAUUUAUUUUCCUUUCACACUUCUUCCAUUUUCUUUUUAAAAAUCUUUUGAAGAAAGCAUUUUAGAAGAAAAUGAGUCUCUGCUCUCAUGGCUAGGAUAGUUUAUUCCUACAGGGGUAGGUCCCAAGUUAUUAGGAAAGCUCAUUUUUAGCAGAUUGAGAAGUCUCAUGUCCUGUGAAGAGACAAUAGUAGGAGGAAGGGAGAAAAACAACAAACAAGAGAACAAUCCUAGAAAAUCUAUAUAGACCACAUUACUUUGAAGUCCAUACAUCAGUAGGUAGGUAUGAAAGUGGCUUAUGUACCUAAAUAGUUUGCUUUUAUUUUCUUCUGAAGUUUAAGUUGUCUAGAUUCAGUUUGCAGGACUUUAGAAAGUACAGCUUAGUUUUCAAUUAUUUCGAAUUAGGAAAAAUGGGGUGAGGGGAAGGAAAAGAAGGAAAAAAAUUGAAAACAUUAUUUUGGAGACUUGUAGCCAGGAAAAAUUAGAAUUCAGUCUAAACUGUAGAAAAUAAUAAAAAUAGAAAAACAUUAGGCAAGACUAAAAUCUAACAACAGGUGCACUAUAGUUUUUGAAACGUAUUUUUUCUCUCUCCAGUUUCCCAUUUUCACUAAAAACAAAUCAUAGAAGAACCAAUUUGCUUUAUUAUACUUGGCCAGAUUAUUUGUAUGAAGUGAAGCAAGAAUAAUUAUUUUUCACAUAGGCUUUUAAAAUUAGCUUUGAUGGACUUCUUCCAUAGAAGGAAUCUCACAUAAGCCUUUUUUAAAGCCAAGCCCAGCCACAGAUUUGUACCAUCAAAUACCUAUGAGUUGGGUGAAUUAUUCUCCUUUUGAGUUCCAACAUAACUUAGGGCUCUUGGGCCUGUCAGAAAGUGACAUUCUUUACUUACCACAGGUCAGGAACACCGUUCAGGGACUGUGCAGACAAGGUAUGAGGCCAGUUUCCCCAAGGGGUUUUUAUUGGCUCUAUAAAUCAAGUUUAAUACCUUAAAGGAAAGCACACCAUUCCAGCCAAAGACUCAGUAAAAUAACCAGUUUCUCCAAUUGUGUCCUGUUACAAAUAAAAACAGAUUCUUAUUUCACUUAUGCAAAUAACUAUAUUGCCGUAAGUCACGAAUACUUACAAGUAGUUUCCAAAUUUUGGAGAAAUCAGGUAGAGAGAAACAAAUAAGCUCCAAAUUUCGUUCAUAGGAGUAUACUUGUUAAAAGCUGUCAAUAGCUCAAAAGAAAAGUUUCCUUGACUCUGAAAAACAAAACAAAGGAUCAGCAACGUUUUGUGCAAAAAGUCAAAAAGACUACUUCAGUCUUCUACUGGUUCAGUCCAUGCAGUUAAUUUCUGUUCUGCUUGAUAUUCGUGAACAUUUCAGCUCUCCGUAAGUCCUGAAAGUUUUUCCUCUUUUCUAAUGUCACAAUCUCCAAAGUUAUCAGAAAACUGCAUUCAAGAACACAUGUUAAGAGUUUUAUAGCUGAUUAUAAAACUACCUUCAAAAGAGGAACAAAACAAGACAACAAUUGUCCAUGGAUGACAAAAAAUUUUAGGGCAGCCAUAGUCAAAGACACAGUUGACAAGAAAAUUUGUUACCUCUGUGGCAUACAAUAAUUUAACAUAACAAUUAUAAUUACUGAUAACAUACACUAAGUCAUAUCAGAAUUUUAGGAGUUUCCUAUUAUUUUGGAACAGAUACCAAUAACACAUUUAUACAAAUACAGCCC
rnacentral:lncRNA from 10 species